AUUGAACGCUGGCGGCAGGCUUAACACAUGCAAGUCGAACGAGUGGCGGACGGGUGAGUAAUGCUUGGGAAUCUAGCUUAUGGAGGGGGAUAACUACGGGAAACUGUAGCUAAUACCGCGUACCAUAGGAUGAGCCCAAGUGGGAUUAGCUAGUUGGUGGGGUAACGGCUCACCAAGGCGACGAUCCGUAGCUGGUUUGAGAGGACGACCAGCCACACUGGGACUGAGACACGGCCCAGACUCCUACGGGAGGCAGCAGUGGGGAAUUUUGGACAAUGGGGGAAACCUGAUCCAGCCAUCCCGCGUGUGCGAUGAAGGCCUUCGGGUUGUAAAGUUCUUUCGGUAGCGAGGCGUUAACUACAGAAGAAGCACCGGCUAACUCCGUGCCAGCCGCCGCGGUAAUAC
rnacentral:rRNA from 1 species